AGAGGAAUAGCUGGGUCAAAUGGUGGUUUCAUUCCCAGUUUUCCAAGGAAUCUCCAUACUGCUUUCCAAAUUGGGUGCACUAAUUUGCAAUCCCACCAGGAGU
rnacentral:pre_miRNA from 1 species